AGUGAAUAGAUACCCUGGUAGUCCACGCCCUAAACUAUGUCAACUAGGUGUUGGGUGGGUAAAACCAUUUAGUACCGUAGCUAAACGCGUGAAAGUUGACCGCCUGGGGAGUACGGCCGCAAGGUUAAAACUCAAAGGAAUUGACGGGACCCGCACAAGCGGUGGAUGAUGUGGAUUAAUUCGAUGCAACGCGAAAAACCUUACCUACCCUUGACAUGCCAGGAACUUGCCAGAGAUGGCUUGGUGCCCGAAAGGGAGCCUGGACACAGGUGCUGCAUGGCUGUCGUCAGCUCGUGUCGUGAGAUGUUGGGUUAAGUCCCGCAACGAGCGCAACCCUUUGUCGUUAAUUGCCAUCAUUUGGUUGGGCAC
rnacentral:rRNA from 1 species